rnacentral:rRNA from 1 species
AUACGUAGGGGGCGAGCGUUGUCCGGAAUGAUUGGGCGUAAAGGGCGCGUAGGCGGCCCGGUAAGUCUGGAGUGAAAGUCCUGUUUUUAAGAUGGGAAUUGCUUUGGAUACUGUCGGGCUUGAGUGCAGGAGAGGUAAGUGGAAUUCCCAGUGUAGCGGUGAAAUGCGUAGAGAUUGGGAGGAACACCAGUGGCGAAGGCGACUUACUGGACUGUAACUGACGCUGAGGCGCGAAAGUGUGGGGAGCAAACAGGAUUAGAUACCCUGGUAGUCCACACUGUAAACGAUGAAUGCUAGGUGUAGGGGGUAUCGACCCCUUCUGUGCCGCAGUCAACACAAUAAGCAUUCCGCCUGGGGAGUACGGCCGCAAGGUUGAAUCUCAAAGGAAUUGACGGGG